rnacentral:rRNA from 1 species
UACGGAGAGUGCAAGCGUUGUUCGGAAUUAUUGGGCGUAAAGCGCGUGUAGGCGGCUCAACAAGUCUGGCGUGAAAGCCUGAAGCUCAACUUCAGAAGUGCGCUGGAAACUGUCGAGCUUGAGUACUGGAGGGGGAAGGGGAAUUCUCGGGUGUAGAGGUGAAAUUCGUAGAUAUCCGGAAGAACAUCAGUGGCGAAGGCGCCUUCCUGGACAGAUACUGACGCUGAGACGCGAAAGCGUGGGGAGCAAACAGGAUUAGAUACCCUGGUAGUCCACGCUGUAAACGAUGGGUGCUAGUUGUCACGGGUAACCAACCCUGUGGUAACGAAGCUAACGCGAUAAGCACCCCGCCUGGGGAAUACGGCCGCAAGGCUAAA